UGUAUGAUGAUCUAUUUGAGUUUUCUAAUCUAUCUUUCAGGCAAGAACAAUCAGUUUGCCUAAAACUGAAAAAAUAACAAAGCAAACAAUUCGUGUUGUACAGUGGUGGAUAUGCCCACUAGGAGAAAAUAUGAAGUUCAAGAUGUUAGGGAAAUAAUUUUGAAUUAAUAAUAUUAAAGAAGAUGCUAUGGCAUCAAAGGAAAUAAAAAUAAUUUUAUCUAGUUAUCAUAUAAGAUAUGGGAG